rnacentral:rRNA from 1 species
UACGGGAGGCUCAAGUGGUGUCCGUGUAUAUUGGGCUUAAAGCGUCCGUAGCUGGUCUUGAAAGUCUCUUGUGAAAGCCCGCAGCUCAACUGUGGGAAGUGCUAGGGAAACUCCAAGACUCGGAGGCGGGAGAGGCAAGGGGUACUUCUAGGGUAGCGGUAGAAUGUGUUAAUCCUGGAAGGACCACCGGUAGCGAAGGCGCCUUGCUAGAACGCGCUCGACAGUGAGGGACGAAGGCUAGGGGAGCAAC